GGGGAUGUGGCUCAAGCGGUAGGGCGCUCGCCUAGCAUGCGUGCGGCCCGGGUUCGAUCCUCAGCAGCACCA
rfam:Ictidomys tridecemlineatus contig097943, whole genome shotgun sequence.